UACAGAGGUCCCAAGCGUUUGUUCGGAUUCAUUGGGCGUAAAGGGUGCGUAGGCGGCGCCGUAAGUCGGAUGUGAAAUCUCAGGGCUCAACCCUGAAACUGCAUUCGAUACUGCGGUGCUUGAGGACUGGAGAGGAGACUGGAAUUUACGGUGUAGCAGUGAAAUGCGUAGAGAUCGUAAGGAAGACCAGUGGCGAAGGCGGGUCUCUGGACAGUUCCUGACACUGAGGCACGAAGGCCAGGGGAGCAAACGGG
rnacentral:rRNA from 1 species